rnacentral:rRNA from 1 species
UUGAACGCUGGCGGCAGGCCUAACACCUGCAAGUCGAGCGGAUGAAGGGAGCUUGCUCCUGGAUUCAGCGGCGGACGGGUGAGUAAUGCCUAGGAAUCUGCCUGGUAGUGGGGGAUAACGUCCGGAAACGGGCGCUAAUACCGCAUACGUCCUGAGGGAGAAAGUGGGGGAUCUUCGGACCUCACGCUAUCAGAUGAGCCUAGGUCGGAUUAGCUAGUUGGUGGGGUAAAGGCCUACCAAGGCGACGAUCCGUAACUGGUCUGAGAGGAUGAUCAGUCACACUGGAACUGAGACACGGUCCAGACUCCUACGGGAGGCAGCGGUGGGGAAUAUUGGACAAUGGGCGAAAGCCUGAUCCAGCCAUGCCGCGUGUGUGAAGAAGGUCUUCGGAUUGUAAAGCACUUUAAGUUGGGAGGAAGGGCAGUAAGUUAAUACCUUGCUGUUUUGACGUUACCAACAGAAUAAGCACCGGCUAACUUCGUG